UACGUAGGGUGCGAGCGUUGUCCGGAUUUAUUGGGCGUAAAGAGCUCGUAGGCGGUUUGUCGCGUCGGCCGUGAAAUCUCCACGCUUAACGUGGAGCGUGCGGUCGAUACGGGCAGACUUGAGUUCGGUAGGGGAGACUGGAAUUCCUGGUGUAGCGGUGAAAUGCGCAGAUAUCAGGAGGAACACCGGUGGCGAAGGCGGGUCUCUGGGCCGAUACUGACGCUGGAGGAGCG
rnacentral:rRNA from 1 species